UACGGAGGAUGCAAGCGUUAUCCGGAAUGAUUGGGCGUAAAGCGUCCGCAGGUGGCUAUGUAAGUCUGCUGUUAAAGAGUGAGGCUCAACCUCAUAAGAGCAGUGGAAACUACAUGGCUAGAGUGCGUUCGGGGCAGAGGGAAUUCCUGGUGUAGCGGUGAAAUGCGUAGAGAUCAGGAAGAACACCGGUGGCGAAAGCGUUCUGCUAGACCUGUACUGACGCUGAGGGACGAAAGCUAGGGGAGCGAAUGGG
rnacentral:rRNA from 1 species